CUAAACAUGACUCCUGUCUAAGCAAAUACACACUUGAAGUUUCUCUCUCUAAGCUCGGUAGUAUUUCUCUCUACAAACUUGUGUAAAUUGUUGAAUAUGUCUUGACCACUCACCCUCUCCUCUAAAUGGGGUGGCUGCAAUCCCUCCUCUCUCCCUUCAAAAAGCUGUGGAUUCGUCUAAAUGCUGCUAAGAAGAAGAGUAGAGGGAUGUACAUUUUGUACGAGGAUGUGAAAUCGUGCCCUUAUGAAGACGUCCAUGUGCUUUGGUCCAUAUUGGUGGAGGCACAUCGGCCACCGUUGCCACUGCCACUGCCGCCGCCUCCCAAGUGACGUACGCUUCUCCAUUUAGCAAGAAAAGCGUAUGACACGACGGGAAGAAACCAAAGAGACAGAAAAGUGAAAUACAUACAUGUAAAUACGAUAGAAACUUUCUUUUACAUUUCGCUUUUCAGUUAUCCUUUUACAAUUUUUCAGGCUUAUUCGAGGUAAAAUUAAUACACAAUGCUCAUACAUAAUUUUAGUCUACAUAGAGUUACACACCCACGAGUUUCCAGAAUUAUAUGAUCUGUAUUACUAUUUACUACUAUUUAACAUUUUAAAUUUUUACAAAAAUAUAUAUUACCUUA